UGAUCCGUGAUAAGGAGCUAAGCUCAAAUUUGGGUGUUGGCUGGUCCUGGAGGCAGAGGGUGGCCAAGAAGAUGGCUCCGAAGGUUGCCACUGGAAAAAAAGGGUUGGAGGGUAGUCGGAGGCUGGUAGAAGGGGCGUCCUCCAGUCAGUUCAUCCAAACACCGCUGGAGCAAGAGACAGAUCGUCCAGACCGCAGGGCGCACUGCCUCCGCGUUCUACUUUUGAUGGGCGUUUGUGGUGUUUUCUGUUGGAGCCUGUUGCCGUGCUUCUGUGAGUCAGUGUGUAUGUGUGUAUGUUUUUCUUCAAAUUUUUUAAGUUCCAGUUAACGUAUAGUGUCAUAUUCAUUUCAGCUGUAGGAUUUAGUGAUUCAUUACCAAAAUACAACAUGAAGUGCUCAGCACAGCAAGUGUCCUCAUUAAUACCAAUCAUCCAUUUAACCCAUCCCCCCACCCGUGGAUAUGUAUUUUGCUGUGGAUUAGUGUCUUGUUUAACUUUUGGAUAUUUGUGAUGUGAAAAUUUCCCUUCUCCAUUAUUUCUCUCCUCUUAUUCUGGGGCACCAGCUAAAUAUGAGUUAGGCCUUGUCGUUGUAGCUCUGUGCUUCCUCUGUAUUUUCCAUGGAUUUUGUCUGUUUUUGGCUGAUUUAUCAGUAUUUUUCUAGUAAUUCUAUCUUUAGUUGUGUUUAUCUACUAUUAAAACUAUACAUUGAAUUUUUAUUUCAUUUAUUAUAUUAACAAUUUUUGCAAUAUCUACUUAGUUCCUUUCUAAACUUAGUCUGUCACUUUUUAGAAACCUCUUUCCCAACCAUAUUUUCCAGCUUGGAUUUCAUUUCUACUACAAAUAUGGAGCUCCAAUUAAUUUCAGUAGCUGAAAUUUCUAUGGUUUGGUUCAUGCUGUUUAUUUUUUUUAUUUUUUUAUUUUUAAGAUUUUAUUUAUUUGACAGAGAUAGAGACAGCCAGCGAGAGAGGGAACACAAGCAGGGGGAGUGGGAGAGGAAGAAGCAGGCUCAUAGCGGAGGAGCCCAAUGUGGGGCUCGAUCCCAGAACACCGGGAUCACGCCCUGAGCCGAAGGCAGACGCCCAACGACUGCGCCACCCAGGCGCCCCUGGUUUGUGCUGUUUAUUAAUUCAGAUUAUUCUCACUUAUAUUUUCUUAUCUGUGUAUGAUCUAGACAUUGAUUUUUUUAAGAAGCUAUUUGUCAUUCUUGUCUUUAAAGAUCACAAUACAAAACAGGAGGUAAAUUUUAUCAAAAUACAGCAUAUCUCUUCAUAUAUCCACAAAAAUAAAUUUCUAUGAACAUUUUUUAUGUGAAUACA
rnacentral:lncRNA from 1 species